rnacentral:tRNA from 5 species
GCCGAUGUAGCUCAGUUGGUAGAGCAGUCCCUUCGUAAGGGAAAGGUCGCCAGUUCAAGUCUGGCCAUCGGCUCCA